UACGGGGGGGGCAAGCGUUGUUCGGCAUUACUGGGCGUAAAGGGCUCGUAGGUGGCCAACUAAGUCGGACGUGAAAUCCCUCAGCUUAACUGGGGAACUGCGUCCGAUACUGGAUGGCUUGAGUUUGGGAGAGGGAUGCGGAAUUCCAGGUGUAGCGGUGAAAUGCGUAGAUAUCUGGAGGAACACCGGUGGCGAAGGCGGCAUCCUGGACCAACACUGACACUGAGGAGCGAAAGCCAGGGGAGCAAACGGG
rnacentral:rRNA from 1 species